rnacentral:rRNA from 1 species
AGCCAUGCGAGUCGAAUGUAGCAAUACAUGGCGUACUGCUCAGUAACACGUGGACAACCUACCCUUAGGACGGGGAUAAACCCGGGAAACUGGGUAUAAUACCCGAUAGUCCUCGGAUGCUGGAAUGCCCCGAGUACUAAAGCUCCGGCGCCUAAGGAUGGGUCUGCGGCCUAUCAGGUAGUAGUGGGUGUAGCGUACCUACUAGCCUACGACGGGUACGGGUUGUGAGAGCAAGAGCCCGGAGAUGGAUUCUGAGACACGAAUCCAGGCCCUACGGGGUGCAGCAGGCGCGAAAACUUUACAAUGCUGGAAACAGCGAUAAGGGGACCUCGAGUGCCAGGUUACAAAUCUGGCUGUCGUGAUGCCUAAAAAGCAUUGCAUAGCAAGGGCCGGGCAAGACCGGUGCCAGCCGCCGCGGUAACACCGGCGGCUCGAGUGGUAACCGUUAUUAUUGGGUCUAAAGGGUCUGUAGCCGGCUGGAUAAGUCUCUUGGGAAAUCUGGCAGCUUAACUGUCAGGCUUUCAGGAGAUACUGUCUGGCUCGAGGCCGGGAGAGGUGAGAGGUACUUCAGGGGUAGGGGUGAAAUCUUGUAAUCCUUGAAGGACCACCAGUGGCGAAGGCGUCUCACCAGAACGGACCUGACGGCAAGGGACGAAAGCUAGGGGCACGAACCGGAUUAGAUACCCGGGUAGUCCUAGCCGUAAACGAUACUCGCUAGGUGUCGGCCACGGUGCGACCGUUGUCGGUGCCGUAGGGAAGCCGUGAAGCGAGCCACCUGGGAAGUACGGCCGCAAGGCUGAAACUUAAAGGAAUUGGCGGGGGAGCACCACAACGGGUGGAGCUUGCGGUUUAAUUGGACUCAACGCCGGGAAG